rnacentral:hammerhead_ribozyme from 1 species
AUCCAGCUGACGGGUUUCAAAUAGGACGAAAUGCGCGUUAUCUUGGAU